UGUUGUUUGCAAUCUAAUAAUUUUGUCGUUGUAGUUGUUUUUGUGCGCGUCGUACUCAUUGAAAUGACAAACUAAUAAUAAAAAUAAAAUCAAAUUGGAUUAUCGCCAAGCCCCGUGCUAAUGUUGGCCGACACUGCCACACUUAUGGCCACAUUUCUGCAAUCCAAUUGGAACAAUAACAAGAACUGCCCCUAGCUAACAAUUUAAUUGCCAUUGCACAAAAACUGUUUGUGCUGAUAAGAAGAGGCCAGAACACAUCGUGGAAAGCCCUACACCCAACCUUAAGCCUCUCUGCCAUCCACCAACAAGGGAUAGUUCAACAUGCCUACCCAAUCGCUAUAUCGCUGCCUCUUGCCUCACGUCCCGCCACUUCGAGCAACGUAGAGUUUCUUCUGUUUUGUCUCAUAUUCUUCCAACAAAAUUGUGGCAAUUGCAACAACAACAAAUAU